rnacentral:lncRNA from 1 species
CUCCGACUCUGCCCGGCGUGCGCUAGCGGCAGGGAGGAGGAGCCCCGGGCUGGGACUCCCUGGUCUUGGCUCUGCCACUUUAUGCUCUUUGACUUUGGGAAAUUCCUGUGCCUUCCUCUCUCCGGGCACUGGAUUGCCUCUUCUGUCAAACAAGGUGAUCGGGCCCCAAGGUCCUUUCCAGCUCUGACGAGCUGGAGUCCAGGUUCCCGUUCCACGACUGCUUCUUUGGGGAAUGACGAUAAUCAUCUUGCAGAUCUAUCCAAGUGCUUGCUUGGUGAGGACCUUCCUGACACCCCUCAAAUGGCACCAGGUGUGUGACUGCCUGCUUCGUCAGAUUUCUGAAUCAGGCCCUGCUCAGGUACAGAGGUUUUCUGUCGUUUAGAAUCAUUAUAUGCAGGAGUUAGAAGAU